CAGUAGCGUAUAUUAAAGUUGUUGCAAGUUAAAAAGCUCGUAGUUGGAUUUCUGGUAAGCUGCGCCUGGCCCCGCCCGCGUUAGCGGUGUGAGUGUCGGUGCGCGGUUGCCAUCCUUCUAGAGAACGUGUCUACCUUUAAUUAGGCCGGAUUCGGGAUCUAGAUCAUUUACUUUAGAAAAAAUUAGAGUGUUUAAAGCAGGCUUUUGCUAUGAAUACAUUAGCAUGGAAUAAUAAUAUAGGACUUUGGUUCUUAUUUUGUUUGGUUUCUAGGACUAAAGUAAUGAUUGAUAGGGAUAGUUGGGGGUGGCUAGUAUUCAGCGGCCAGAGGUGAAAUUCUUGGAUUCGCUGAAGACUAACUUAUGCGAAAGCAUUCACCAAGGAUGUCUUCUUUAAUCAAGAACGAAAGUUGGGGAUCGAAGACGAUUAGAUA
rnacentral:rRNA from 1 species